rnacentral:rRNA from 1 species
AAAGGAAUUGACGGGGACCCGCACAAGCAGCGGAGCAUGUGGUUUAAUUCGAAGCAACGCGAAGAACCUUACCAAGGUUUGACAUCGCCUGACCGCCGUGGAAACACGGUUUUCCUAGCAAUAGGACGGGUAGACAGGUGGUGCAUGGUUGUCGUCAGCUCGUGUCGUGAGAUGUUGGGUUAAGUCCCGCAACGAGCGCAACCCCUAUGAAUAGUUGCCAAUAUUAAGUUAGGAACUCUAUUCAGACUGCCGUGGAUAACACGGAGGAAGGUGGGGAUGACGUCAAAUCAUCACGCCCCUUAUAUCUUGGGCUACACACGUGCUACAAUGGCUGUAACAAAGAGCAGCGAAACGGUGACGUAGAGCGAAUCUCAGAAAAACAGUCUCAGUUCAGAUUGUGGGCUGCAACCCGCCCACAUGAAGCAGGAGUUGCUAGUAAUCGCGAAUCAGCACGUCGCGGUGAAUGCGUUCCCGGGUCUUGUACACACCGCCCGU